rnacentral:rRNA from 1 species
UACGUAGGAGGCGAGCGUUGUCCGGAGUUACUGGGCGUAAAGCGCACGCAGGCGGUCAGAUCAGUCUGGAGUGACAGUCUCGGCUUAACCGACGAAGUGUUCUGGAAACUGUCUGACUUGAGGGCUUCAGAGGGACACGGAAUUCCGGGUGGAGUGGUGAAAUGCGUAGAUAUCCGGAGGAACACCAAUGGCGAAAGGCAGUGUCCUGGGAAGUACCUGACGCUC